ACCACGCGCGGUACAGACGUGUGUCAUAAUUUCAUAAGAAAUAAAAGUAAUUAUUAAGUAAAAACAUCCAGAAUUUUAGUUUUGGCUGCCUCGACCGAGAUGUCGUCGAGAACCUUCCACAAAAGCGGCGCCAGGGAGAGACGGAGUUUCAUUACAGAUGCUGCUAUGCAGGGUGUGUGAUAGUUAUUGUAGACUAUUCAAAGAGUUUCUUGACCGUUUACUUCGGUACAAAUACAUGCUUUAUAAUUAUGUCAUAUAUGUAUGUGGCACGGAAAAUAUUUUAA